AAGCAGUGGGAGCACAGAGCAAUCUGUGUGACUGCGUACCUUUUGUAUAAUGGGUCAGCGACUUAUAUUCUGUAGCAAGGUUAACCGAAUAGGGGAGCCGAAGGGAAACCGAGUCUUAACUGGGCGUUAAGUUGCAGGGUAUAGACCCGAAACCCGGUGAUCUAGCCAUGGGCAGGUUGAAGGUUGGGUAACACUAACUGGAGGACCGAACCGACUAAUGUUGAAAAAUUAGCGGAUGACUUGUGGCUGGGGGUGAAAGGCCAAUCAAACCGGGAGAUAGCUGGUUCUCCCCGAAAGCUAUUUAGGUAGCGCCUCGUGAAUUCAUCUCCGGGGGUAGAGCACUGUUUCGGCAAGGGGGUCAUCCCGACUUACCAACCCGAUGCAAACUGCGAAUACCGGAGAAUGUUAUCACGGGAGACACACGGCGGGUGCUAACGUCCGUCGUGAAGAGGGAAACAACCCAGACCGCCAGCUAAGGUCCCAAAGUCAUGGUUAAGUGGGAAACGAUGUGGGAAGGCCCAGACAGCCAGGAUGUUGGCUUAGAAGCAGCCAUCAUUUAAAGAAAGCGUAAUAGCUCACUGGUCGAGUCGGCCUGCGCGGAAGAUGUAACGGGGCUAAACCAUG
rnacentral:rRNA from 1 species